AUGAAACAGUUUGACGCCGAUUUUCUAGCAGUUACUUCUUACCCUCAGUGGGUGGCCAAUGUGGAUCCUGUGCCGAAGAAGGAUGCGCCAUCGCACGCAAGCUCCAUCGCUGCCAGAAUCAUCACCACCUUCAACUCCUCCUUCUCCUUACUCGGUAAAGUAGAGUUUUUGAUCAAGAACAAGAAAGAUGUCGUACAUGUUGCCUCACUUGCAUUCGGGGUGGGUUGUGGAUCAGGCUAUCUUUGCGGAGGAAGAGCGUCUCGUUGUCAUUCGUUUUGGACACGAUUGGGACGAGACUUGUAUGCAGCAAUGUAUCAAUGA